rnacentral:rRNA from 1 species
UGGGGAAUUUUGGACAAUGGGCGAAAGCCUGAUCCAGCAACGCCGCGUGAGGGAUGAAGGUCUUCGGAUUGUAAACCUCUUUUACAGGGGACGAAUUCUGACGGUACCCUGUGAAUAAGUCACGGCUAACUUCGUGCCAGCAGCCGCGGUAAUACGAAGGUGGCAAGCGUUACUCGGAAUGACUAGGCGUAAAGCGCAGGUAGGUGGUGAGGUAAGUCUGCAAUGAAAUCUCCCGGCUUAACUGGGAGCGGUUUGUGGAAACUACUUUGCUUGAGUGUGGGAGAGGAUGCUGGAAUUCCAGGUGUAGCGGUGAAAUGCGUAGAUAUCUGGAGGAACACCAAUGGCGAAAGCAGGCAUCUGGCCCAAUACUGACACUGAGCUGCGAAAGCUAGGGGAGCAAACAGG